rnacentral:rRNA from 1 species
GUUUUGUAUGUACCUUAUGAAUAAGGAUCGGCUAACUCCGUGCCAGCAGCCGCGGUAAUACGGAGGAUCCGAGCGUUAUCCGGAUUUAUUGGGUUUAAAGGGUGCGUAGGCGGCCUUUUAAGUCAGCGGUGAAAGUCUGUGGCUCAACCAUAGAAUUGCCGUUGAAACUGGGGGGCUUGAGUAUGUUUGAGGCAGGCGGAAUGCGUGGUGUAGCGGUGAAAUGCUUAGAUAUCACGCAGAACCCCGAUUGCGAAGGCAGCCUGCCAAGCCAUGACUGACGCUGAUGCACGAAAGCGUGGGGAUCAAACAGGAUUAGAUACCCUGGUAGUCCACGCAGUAAACGAUGAUCACUAGCUGUUUGCGAUACACGGUAAGCGGCACAGCGAAAGCGUUAAGUGAUCCACCUGGGGAGUACGCCGGCAACGGUGAAACUCAAAGGAAUUGACGGGGGCCCGCACAAGCGGAGGAACAUGUGGUUUAAUUCGAUGAUACGCGAGGAACCUUACCCGGGUUUGAACGCAUUCGGACCGAGGUGGAAACACCUUUUCUAGCAAUAGCCGUUUGCGAGGUGCUGCAUGGUUGUCGUCAGCUCGUGCCGUGAGGUGUCGGCUUAAGUGCCAUAACGAGCGCAACCCUUGCCACUAGUUACUAACAGGUAAAGCUGAGGACUCUGGUGGGACUGCCAGCGUAAGCUGCGAGGAAGGCGGGGAUGACGUCAAAUCAGCACGGCCCUUACAUCCGGGGCGACACACGUGUUACAAUGGCGUGGACAAAGGGAGGCCACCUGGCGACAGGGAGCGAAUCCCCAAACCACGUCUCAGUUCGGAUCGGAGUCUGCAACCCGACUCCGUGAAGCUGGAUUCGCUAGUAAUCGCGCAUCAGCCAUGGCGCGGUGAAUACGUUCCCGGGCCUUGUACACACCGCCCGUCAAGCCAUGGGAGCCGGGGGUACCUGAAGUCCGUAACCGCGAGGAUCGGCCUAGGGUAAAACUGGUGACUGGGGCUAAGUCGUAACAAGGUAGCCGUACCGGAAGGUGCGGCUGGAACACCUCCUUUCU